rnacentral:tRNA from 1 species
GCCCUAGUAGUAUAACCCAAUACUUUGGUCUUGUAAACCAAAAAUGAAGCCUUAACGCUUCCUAGGACA